AGUCGACGCUGAAGCUCCUGCUUGCUGGGGUGGAUGAGUGGCGAACGGGUGAGUAACACGUGAGUAACCUUCCCUUGACUCUGGGAUAAGCCCGGGAAACUGGGUCUAAUACCGGAUAUGACCUCCUGUCGCAUGGUGGGGGGUGGAAAGAUUUAUCGGUCUUGGAUGGACUCGCGGCCUAUCAGCUUGUUGGUGAGGUAAUGGCUCACCAAGGCGACGACGGGUAGCCGGCCUGAGAGGGUGACCGGCCACACUGGGACUGAGACACGGCCCAGACUCCUACGGGAGGCAGCAGUGGGGAAUAUUGCACAAUGGGCGCAAGCCUGAUGCAGCGACGCCGCGUGAGGGAUGACGGCCUUCGGGUUGUAAACCUCUUUCAGUAGGGAAGAAGCCUUCGGGUGACGGUACCUGCAGAAGAAGCGCCGGCUAACUACGUGCCAGCAGCCGCGGUAAUACGUAGGGCGCGAGCGUUAUCCGGAAUUAUUGGGCGUAAAGAGCUCGUAGGCGGUUUGUCGCGUCUGCCGUGAAAGUCCGGGGCUUAACCCCGGAUCUGCGGUGGGUACGGGCAGACUAGAGUGCAGUAGGGGAGACCGGAAUUCCUGGUGUAGCGGUGAAAUGCGCAGAUAUCAGGAGGAACACCGAUGGCGAAGGCAGGUCUCUGGGCUGUUACUGACGCUGAGGAGCGAAAGCAUGGGGAGCGAACAGGAUUAGAUACCCUGGUAGUCCAUGCCGUAAACGUUGGGCACUAGGUGUGGGGGACAUUCCACGUUUUCCGCGCCGCAGCUAACGCAUUAAGUGCCCCGCCUGGGGAGUACGGCCGCAAGGCUAAAACUCAAAGGAAUUGACGGGGGCCCGCACAAGCGGCGGAGCAUGCGGAUUAAUUCGAUGCAACGCGAAGAACCUUACCAAGGCUUGACAUGUUCUCGAUCGCCACAGAGAUGUGGUUUCCCCUUUGGGGCGGGUUCACAGGUGGUGCAUGGUUGUCGUCAGCUCGUGUCGUGAGAUGUUGGGUUAAGUCCCGCAACGAGCGCAACCCUCGUUCCAUGUUGCCAGCGGGUUAUGCCGGGGACUCAU
rnacentral:rRNA from 1 species